rnacentral:lncRNA from 1 species
CUGUGCUCUGGAUCUCAGAGACAGAAACCCGGUUGCAGGGUCCAUGCUUCCAAACAUCCCCCUCUCCAUCUCCCUCUCCCUGUAGCCAGGAGGCAGCUCAGCUGCUUGCAGCUUGCCUUGGCUGAUAGCACACAUACCUCUCAGUCUGAGAGCCACAGUUACUUAUGCACAUCUUCAACUUUGACCACCAGAGGAAGGAAGCCUGUAAGUUAACUUUCCUCCUCAUUUAUGGGGUGGACAGCUCUAGGGUACAUUUCUCAGAGUUCUUCAGAAGUUCCCAAGGAACCAGGCCUUUCUUUCUUCUGUAGUAGCUGCCUCAGUAAUGGCUCCUUGUGUGUCUCCUGAAUAUUUCACUCUCAAACUAUUUCACUACUGAUCCUUGGGGUUGCCCCAGAACAAACAUGUGUAUGUGAGCCUUUGUGUAUAGCCAGAUACAGAGGAAACUGCUAAAACAACAUGUCUUGACAUAACAGCAGCCUAUGUCAGAAGGGUACCCCCUGCUCAGUCUCCCAGCGCUAAAAGGAGCUCCUGGGGGGGCCGUGGUGUUAGCACCCUGAGACUUCCAGAGAGUGGCAUGAACAUACCUCUGUCCUCAGAUGCUGGCGGAGGCUCAGAGGACACUUGUGGCUUAGUUUGGAGAGGGCUGAUAAAGUCUGUAGGGAUGGUUUUGAGGCCUUUGGCUCCUGGUUGUUUAGUUGCUUGAGUCCUGUGACUCUGGUGAGUCUCCCUCAGAGGGUAGCCAAUGGUCCGAUCAUUCAGAACAGAUGUUCUCCUGAUGAACUUAAUUGCAUCAUUAGCAGCCUGGCUACAAAACGGGUGAUUUGAGAGCUGCUGGGAAGUGGGGAGCCUCCAGGGCAGCUGUUCCCAGGGCUGAGCAUGCCUUUGCAGUGGUCCUUCCUGUCCCCACCCCCACACUGGCCUCUUCAAUUCUGAGGCUUUCUCACCAGCCAGAACCAGAACAGAUGGAAACAGGCCUCGUGGGCAUCUCCAGCUGAUGUGGAUUUCACAGCGGGCGGAAGAGUGAGAGGAGCAGACAGCAUCUCCCCUUCCCACGGCCACUUGGGAGGCCACACUGUCCAGCUGUCCACCCUCACUCCUGUGAAAGGAUCCCAGUUUAUAAAUAAGAAGAUUGAACUCCAGUUCCUCAACCCAGCACACUGGCUGACUUUGAAAGAACCACUUUUUGUGUUUGACCAACUACUAGAAUUCUGGGAGACAGGGAUUCCUCACUGACCUGGGCUGAUUUCCUCAGAAAAUGAGGCAGGAGGAAUGGAGCUGGAAGAAAGAUGAAGUUGGCUGAAGGAAGAGCAGGCCAG